rnacentral:rRNA from 1 species
AGUGAAGCGGCAGCAGCUCAAAUUUGAAAUCCGGCCCCCGGGGCCCGAGUUGUAAUUUGCAGAGGAUGCUUCGGGCGAGGCGCCUUCCGAGUUCCCUGGAACGGGACGCCGCAGAGGGUGAGAGCCCCGUCUGGUCGGACGCCGAGCCCGCGUGAAGCCCCUUCGACGAGUCGAGUAGUUUGGGAAUGCUGCUCAAAACGGGAGGUAUAUGUCUUCUAAAGCUAAAUACCGGCCAGAGACCGAUAGCGCACAAGUAGAGUGAUCGAAAGAUGAAAAGCACUUUGGAAAGAGGGUUAAAAAGUACGUGAAAUUGUUGAAAGGGAAGCGCCCGCGACCAGACUUGGGCCCGGCGGAUCACCCGGCGUUCUCGCCGGCGCACUCCGCCGGGCGCAGGCCAGCAUCGGUCCGGCGCGGGGGACAAAGGCCCUGGGAACGUGGCUCCCCCGGGAGUGUUAUAGCCCACCGCGCAAUGCCCCGCGCCGGACCGAGGAACGCGCACCGCAAGGAUGCUGGCGUAAUGGUCGCCGGCGACCCGUCUUGAAACACGGACCAAGGAGUCGUCUUCGUAUGCGAGUGUUCGGGUGUCAAACCCCUACGCGGAAUGAAAGUGAACGCAGGUGAGAGCCUCGGCGCAUCAUCGACCGAUCCUGAUGUCCUCGGAUGGAUUUGAGUAGGAGCAUACGGGGCCGGACCCGAAAGAAGGUGAACUAUGCCUGCGUAGGGUGAAGCCAGAGGAAACUCUGGUGGAGGCUCGCAGCGGUUCUGACGUGCGAAUCGAUCGUCAAACGUGGGCAUGGGGGCGAAAGACUAAUCGAA